UGGCGGUGCGUCUUAGACAUGCAAGUCGAGCGAGAAAGCCCGCAAGGGUGAGUAAAGCGGCGAACGGGUGAGUAAUACUUGGGUAACGUGCCUCCGAGAUCGGGACAACAUGCCGAAAGGCGUGCUAAUACCGGAUAAGACCACAGCGGCUGCGGCCGCAGAGGUCAAAGAUGGCGCAAGCUAUCACUUGGAGAUCGGCUCAAGCACCAUUAGCUAGUUGGCGGGGUAACAGCCCACCAAGGCUACGAUGGUUAGCCGACCUGAGAGGGUGAACGGCCACACUGGAACUGAGAUACCGCCCAGAUCUACGAGGCAGCAGUUUGGAAUAUUCACAAUGGCGAAGCCUGAUGAAGCGACACGCGUGAAGGAUGAGGUCUCGGAUGUAACUCGGUAGCCUAGAUGAAGGGUCCGGGUGAAUAAUCCCGGACUUGACAGUAUAGGCAGAAUAAGCCACGGCUAACUCUGUGCCAGCGGCCGCGGUAAUACAGAGGUGGCUAACGUUGUCCGGAAUUACUGGGUGUAAAGGGUCCGCAGGCUGUCCUGUAAGUCAAAGGUGAAAUGAUACGGCUUAACCGUGUCACUGCCUUUGAUACUGCAGGACUUGAGUACGGAAGAGGAGAGUGGAAUUCCCUGUGUAGCGGUGAAAUGCGUAGAUAUAGGGAAGAACACCGGUGGCGAAGGCGGCUCUCUGGUCCGAUACUGACGCUCAGGGACGAAAGCCAGGGGAGCAAACGGGAUUAGAUACCCCGGUAGUCCUGGCCGUAAACGAUGAGAACUAGGUGUUAGGGGUAUCCACUCCUCUAGUGCCGCAGCUAACGCAUUAAGUUCUCCACCUGGGGACUACGGCCGCAAGGCUGAAACUCAAAGAAAUUGACGGGGGCCUGCACAAGCAGUGGAGCAUGUGGUUCAAUUCGACGCAACGCGAAGAACCUUACCUGGGUUUGACAUCCGCUGACCGACUAUGAAAGUAGUCCUUCCCGCAAGGGACAGCGAGACAGUGCUGCAUGCUGUCGUCAGCUCGUGUCGUGAGAUGUUGGGCUAAGUCCCGCAACGAGCGCAACCCUUGUCUUUAGUGCCAUCGGUCAAGCCGGCACUCUAGAGAGACUGCCGUGACAAACGGAGGAGGUGGGAUGACGUCAAGUCCUAUGCCUUAGCCAGCUACACCGUGCUACAAUGACGGAUACAAAAGGUGCGAACCCGCGAGGGGGAGCUAAUCCCAAAAAGUCCGUCCCAGUUCGGAUUGGAGUCUGCAAUUCGACUCCAUGAAGCCGGAAUUGCUAGUAAUCGCGGAUCAGAACGCCGCGGUGAAUACGUUCCCGGGCCUUGUACACACCGCCCGUCAAGUCACGAAAGCCAGUUGCACCAGAAGCGAUUGGGCUAACCCGCAAGGGAGGCAGGUCGCUAAGGUAUGAUUGGUGAUUGGGACUAAGUCGUAACAAGGUAACC
rnacentral:rRNA from 1 species